CAGCCGCCGCGGUAAUACCGGCGGCCCGAGUGGCGGUCACUAUUAUUGGGCUUAAAGCGUCCGUAGCCGGGUUGGGAAGGCCUCCGGGAAAUCUGGCCGCUUAAAGGUCAGAAUGCCGGAGGAUACUCCCAGCCUAGGGAGCGGGAGAGGCCGAGGGUAUUCCCGGAGUAGGGGGGAAAUCCUAUAAUCCCGGGAGGACCACCUGUGGCGAAGGCGCUCGGCUGGAACGCGUCCGACGGUGAGGGACGAAGGCCAGGGGAGCAAACCGGAUUAGAUACCCGGGUAGUCCUGGCUGUAAACGAUGCGGACUUUGUGUCGGACAAGCUAUGAGCUUGUCCGGUGCCGGAGGGAAACCGUUAAGUCCGCCGCCUGGGGAGUACGGCCGCAAGGCUGAAACUUAAAGGAAUUGGCGGG
rnacentral:rRNA from 1 species